rnacentral:tRNA from 1 species
GGCGGCGUAGCUCAGUUGGUAGAGCAAACGGCUCAUACCCGUUAUGUCAAUGGUUCGAGUCCAUUCGCCGUCA